AUGUUUCCUAGUAGGAAAAACGCUCGCCGGACUAUAUCCGGAGAGAUUGCCGAUCACGCCUCCACCAGUCGGGCUCCAGGGCCGGACAUGGAGGCGGAAGCUAACAUGGGGCGAACGCCGGAUGUUCCUCCUACAGAGGAUGCAGAUAGGCUAUCCGCUACAAAUUCCGAAGUGGAGAGCGCCAUGAAUCACAGGCGUCGCCGGGCCGUACUCCGUGACGCUUGUUUCUCCCAAGAGGCGUUUGAUGCCUUCAACUCAAGAGACGCGUACAUCCGUGCCGCUCAAAAUGGUCUUGCCAGAGCCACGGAUCAGUAUGUAAAGGAUAUACGGGUUCUUACAGAGAAGAAUACCCAAUUGUCUCAAGAGCUGGAGGAGUGCAAAGCCCAGCUACGGGCCGCAGUUACCGCGCGGAAGGAGUCCGAGAAGGCCCCCUCUGAUGACUCCGGAGGCCGUGCCGGGGGAUGCGCAACGUGCUAA
rnacentral:rRNA from 1 species